rnacentral:lncRNA from 1 species
UUCAUGAAUUGGGAAGAAACAGCGAGAAAAUUGGAAAAAAAAUGGAAUCCCAAAUUAAUUGUCAAAUUCUCCCUUCACUCCUCUCCUCCUUCGUCGACACUUUCGUCGAUUUCUCUGUCAGUGGCGGCCUUUUCUUAUUCCCUGAACCAAACCCAAACUCGGAAAUUCGAAGGAUCCAGCAUGUUUGCCUCCUUUACAGACUGUAUUUGCACAACCGUCUCGCCUUAUUGCCAUUGGGGACCUUUUUAAGGCCAAACAGGCGUUAAGGCUUGCAGGUCUGAUUGACCUGAAUGGUCGGUGGUCGGGCGGGUCGAGUACUCUUGUACAGGUGGGGGAUAUUCUGGACCGGGGUGGGGAUGAGAAGUUGUCGUACUUCUUUGAGAAAUUGUAGAGGGAGGCUGAGAAAGUUGGUGGGAGGAUUAUUGCGAUGAAUGGGAAUCAUGAG